rnacentral:sRNA from 1 species
GCCAGAAGGUUCGGUUGCGCGUGUGCCAUGGACUCAGCCGCCCGGUGAUAUUGACAAUAGGAGAGAGAAAGGGGCAUUGACUGGGACCCACCGCGGGUAGCGAAAGGUGGCUCUGGCAGCGGCGGCUCCAGCUCCUGCGGCUCCUCCUCCUUCUUCUGUCCCCUUCUCUUGCUGCCGCUGCAGAUCCAGUCUUCCUCCCUCCCUUCCUCCCCUCCCCACGUCGUCGCCGCCGCCGCCGCCGCCGGGUCCGGGGCAACGAGCUGAGGCGCCGCCCGCCAGGAAUGUGAGCGAGGAGCCACCGGCGGAGCCGCAACGGGGUCGGUGCGGAUUUGAUGGGACGGGCCCGCGGGGGAGGAUCGUGAGGCCGCCGCCGCCACCGGAAAGCUAAGGUUCGGGUCCGGCCGUGAGGCCUAGAGGCUCCGCCGCCGCGGAACCGGAGGGACCCCGCACCGGACAGCCGUCGCCCCGGGCUCCCCGCAGCUGCCCGGACCUCCCCCUGCACGUCCCGGUCCCGCCGCCCGCCCCCGCUGCGGCCACCUCGCCUGUCUCCCGCCCCUCCAAGCCACAGAUCAUCUUCGGAUUCUUCCCCAGAAGCUUCAAGUAGGGAUAUGUCCUCAGCACCAACUACUCCUCCAUCAGUGGAUAAAGUAGACGGAUUUUCUCGGAAGUCCGUCAGAAAAGCCAGACAGAAGAGGUCGCAAAGUUCCUCACAGUUUAGGUCUCAAGGCAAGCCUAUUGAGUUAACACCUCUGCCACUGCUAAAAGACGUUCCAUCCUCAGAGCAGCCUGAACUGUUCCUAAAGAAACUUCAGCAGUGCUGUGUCAUUUUUGACUUCAUGGACACGCUAUCUGAUCUUAAAAUGAAAGAAUACAAGCGCUCCACUCUUAAUGAACUGGUGGACUACAUUACAAUAAGCAGAGGCUGUUUGACAGAGCAGACUUACCCUGAAGUAGUUAGAAUGGUGAGUUUCUUUUUUUCUCCGCGGACACUUUUAAGCAUCUUCCAUAGUGACUCACAGGUGUAUAUAUUGCAAGAGUGAGGUCAUUGGAGGUCAACUCCACAAAUGAGAGCCAACCUUUGGAGAGCUAAGCAAAUGUAGUCGGCACAGUGCUAGAAUUUGAAGAGCAUGAUUUCAUGAGAACGAAAUCCAGAACUUUAACUACGGCAAGUGCUGAAGCAAUCAAUGACUUCAAAAUAUGAAGCCAAGAUUGCCAGGGUAUUACUGGAUUUCUGGCUUUGGCAAAAGAAAAGACACAGGAAGAUAACAAAAGUCUUAGAUCCGUGUUUGAAAAGUAUUCAAGCCUGUUGGAUGUCUUUUUUUUUUUUUUAAUCUUAUUCAUUGUGGUAUAUUAGAAAUGGCUUAAUGCUUAAUAAAAUUGUGAUUUGUAGAAUCUAGUUAAGGCCUCUCUUGGGCUUUAUAACUCACGCUUCUCUUUAUAAUCCCCUUGAAGUCAGGGUUGAUACCUUUUAUGAUUUUUGAAUAGUGUCUUAGAUUUUGUGUGGUCACUAGGAGUUACGAGGAAAAACAUUAUUAACAUAAUGUGAGUAAUUAUGUUCUUAUUGUGUGAACAAUUAUUUUAGUUUUUCAAAAGCUGAGCCAAAAUGUGGUUUUCUGAUAGAUUUCUGUGGGAGAGUUGCCUUCCUUGGCAUCCCAGAAGAUCUUGGAGCUGGAGAGUGCAUGCUAUUUGGGGAUGGGCUUUGCAGGGUGGGGAGGCUGGUCUACUGACUGGUGAAAUAGCCUCAGAGAUCCCUAAGGUCAGUGCAUCGUUGAGGAAUCCAUUGCAGGAUCGGGCACACUCUCUGUGUACUGCUGAACAUCUGCCUGUCUUUUGUAUUUAGUUCCUUAUCAUUUGUAUUCAACCAAUACAGUAAAGAGACUUUUGUGAUGUAGUAGAUAUGUUUAAAAAUGAUAGUUCAGAUUUGCAAAGGGACUUGAAUGAUCUCAGCGUGAGACUGUGACUGAUAUAUGAAGGUCAUCUGAAAACGAUGCCCAAUAUAUUCCUCAGAUCUAUAUCUGAAUAUAUAUUGGAUUUGUUGUUAAUUUACAGGAAUGUAGCACUAGAAUGUUUUGUAGGUUAAAGAUGACUGUGUGGCUCUUGAACAGUGCUUCUCAACCAGGUGUGAUUUUGCCUUACAGGGGACAUUUGUCAGUGUCUAGAGACAUUUUUGGUAGUCACAACUAGAUGUGGGAGGAGAGUACUACCAGCAUCUAGUGGGAGAGGCCAGAGAUACUGCUAAACAUUUUACAAUGUACAGGGUGGCCCCCACAAUAAAGAAUUAUCUGGCCCCAAAUGUCACAAGUGCCACUGUUGAGAAACCUUGCUCUUGAGUUUGCAUACUAUCUAAAUCUCUUAAUGUGAUGCAGAGGAUCUUCUCUAGUCUACCUGCUUUCUGCAGAGCACAGUCCCUGGUUUUAGCCUACCUGUAUCAUCAGCCAACAGAGGUAUCAGUUAUGACUUUCUUCUGUAUCUUUCCAUGGAUAGUUCAUGAAUAUAUAAGUAUAUGCAAACAUAUGUAUAAAUAUUUUUUUUUUGUAAGCACACAAAUGGUGGCACACUAUAUAUUUUCUGUACCUUGCUUUUUUCACUUAGCAAUAUAUAUUUCAGUACAUAUAAAGUUGCCAUAUUCUUUUUAUAGCUGCAUAAUAUUUAUUGUGUGAAUGUACCAUAUUUAAGCAGUACUCUAUGAAUAUCCUUAUAUAUACAUCAGUUUGUCUUUGUAUGAGGACAUUUGUAUAUGUAUUUUUGAAAAUUUAAUUUUUUAAGAACAGUUUUAGGUUCACAUUAUAAUUGAGAGGAAAGUACAGAGAUUUCUCAUAUGCCCUGUCCCUGCACAAGCACAGCCUCCCCCAUUAUCAACACCUCCCCCCUCACUCCCACCAGAGCAGUACAUUUGUUACAAUUGAUGAUCCUACAUUGACGCAUCAUUAUCACUCAGAGUUCAUAGUUCACAUUAGGGCUCAUUCUUGGUGUUGGACAUUCUGAGUUUAGACAAAUGUGUAAUGACAUGUAUCCACCAUUAUAGUACCAUACAUACCAUACAUCACUGCCCUGAAAAUCCUCUGUGCUCCACUUCUUCAUCACCCACCACCUUCAACUCCCUGGCAACCACUGAUCUUUUUACUGUCUCCAUAAUUUUGCUUUUUCCAGACUGUCAUAUAGUUGGAAUCAUACAGCAUGUACUCUUUUCAGAUGGGCUUCUUUGACUUAGUUAUAUGCACUUAAGCUUCCUUCAUGUCUUUUCAAGACUUGAUAGCUCACUUAUUUUAGUGUUGAAUAACAUUUUAUUGGUUGGAUGUACCAUAGUUUAUCCAUUCACCUACUGAAGGACAUUUUAGUUGCUUCCUAAUUUUGGCAAUUAUGAAUAAAGCUAAU